AGAAAGUUAUACUUCAGGUGUGUGGUUUCAUACAGGAAUUUGGUCAAAAUCUAAUGAGGCUAAAGAGGGGGAGUUCUAAAAUCGUUUUUUUUAAAAUGUGUUUACCUACGCACUGUAUAGUAAGUAGUAUAUUGGGAUUAUUCUAGAUGAAUAUAUUCUGCAUUUUGACUUGACUAUGAGAAAUAAUAGUUAUCCGGGAUAAAUAAUUGAACAGCCU